UUCAAGGUGAAUUUGAACUUCAUCCAAACAUUAAAGUUGAAGUAGACAUCGUAAGUUUUAUUAUGGAAUUUUAAUGGCUUUCAUAUCAUAAAAAUUGAGUAAGUUAUGGUCUUGGGAAGUUGACCUCCAAACUAGGGUUCAGACAAAAUGACCUGUAAUCUUUCACCCUAAACAAUGACUUUACAAGAAAAAAUAGCUCUUUACUUCAACAUGAAAGUUGUUUGGAAUUUCAUUUUGAGUAAUUUUUCUCU
rnacentral:lncRNA from 1 species